GACGAACGCUGGCGGCGUGCCUAACACAUGCAAGUCGAGCGGACAGGCCCUGCUUUUGCGGGGUGCUCGAUAGCCGAACGGGUGAGUAACACGUGUGUAACCUGCCCUUGACAUAGUGAUAACAUUAGGAAACACGGGCUAUUACCGGAUAGGAUAUCUUGCUGCAUGUUGGGCGCUUGAAAGUUUCGGCUGUUGGGGAUGGUCUCGCGGCAUACCAGCUUGUUGGUGGGGUAGUGGCUUACCAAGGCUCUGACGGGUAGCCGGCCUGAGAGGGGGACCGGCGACAUUAGGCCUGGGAUACGGCCCAGACUCGAACGGGACGCAGCGGUGGAGAGUGUUACACAAUGGGCGGAAGCCAGAUGCGACAACGCCGCGUGCGGGAAGACGGGCUUCGGGUUGUGAACCAAUGUCGCCUGUGACGAGGAGUUAGUGACGGUAAUGGGUAAAGAAGCACCGGCUAACUACGUG
rnacentral:rRNA from 1 species